rnacentral:rRNA from 1 species
CCUACGGGGGGCAGCAGUGGGGAAUAUUGGACAAUGGGCGAAAGCCUGAUCCAGCCAUGCCGCGUGUGUGAAGAAGGCCUUCGGGUUGUAAAGCACUUUCAGUGGGGAAGAAAGCCUUGGGGCUAAUACCCUCGAGGAAGGACAUCACCCACAGAAGAAGCACCGGCUAACUCCGUGCCAGCAGCCGCGGUAAUACGGAGGGUGCGAGCGUUAAUCGGAAUUACUGGGCGUAAAGCGCGCGUAGGCGGUCUGAUAAGCCGGUUGUGAAAGCCCCGGGCUCAACCUGGGAACGGCAUCCGGAACUGUCAGGCUAGAGUGCAGGAGAGGAAGGUAGAAUUCCCGGUGUAGCGGUGAAAUGCGUAGAGAUCGGGAGGAAUACCAGUGGCGAAGGCGGUCUUCUGGACUGACACUGACGCUGAGGUGCGAAAGCGUGGGUAGCAAACAGGAUUAGAUACCCUAGUAGUC